ensembl:lncRNA
CUUAACCGUCUCUGGCUCAGGAAAGCCCUGCAGACCCUGGGGCUGCCCGAAUGUGGGCAGCCAUGAAGAUUUCGGCCCACACACAUCAGCCUCCAAAGCCCAGAAGCUUUCCUUCAACUAGCGGCAGGAGGAAAGGAGGACUUCAGGGGUCGUGACCACAGCUUCCAGCUUUAUGUAAACACACAUCUUAGUGUCCUAGAAAUGACCCAGAACUGUGAGCUGCGGGCGAAGCAAAGUGAGGGCCCCCCCAGCUUGCUUGCCCUCGUCUCGUGGGCCCAGGGCAGAGCCUGGCACCCCAUCUCGGCUUUGCUAAGACCAGCUGGGGACUGUGCUCAACACUACCUCAGGGAAGAUUCUGGUACUGCCCUGACAGGGACCCUGUCCUCACCCCGCCCACAGCUGAGCCCUGGAAUCUGACCAUCAGAGCCCCUUCCCUGGGGUCUGGAUUUUGGUCCCUGGUCACACUUCUGGUCCCCAGGGAAGGGAUGCUCUUUACACUGUGAUGAGGGUUCUGUACCUCAGGGUAAGGAAGCAACCAGAUGGCAGUUUCCACCAGGGGAAGAGUGAUGGGAGGGUUUGAUGGGAGAGCGACUCUGCCCAUGAGAAUGCUCGGGGGGUCGGGGUCACCCAGCAGCUGCGCCUCCAGAGUGACGGCACAGCCCACAGUCACCUUCGAGCCUGCGGUUCUGCCUGACACCGAAGACUGUGCUUCUCUGGGUUUGAAUAUGAUGAACCAAGCGGAUUAAAUCAGAGCAAAGUGCCCGUCACCCUUUUCUCACUGUAUUUCUCUCUGUGCUGCUCCUCGGGCGUCUUUCUCAUACAUACUGGGUGCUUCCGUCUGAGUCAUCCAUGAGAGCAUAAGAAAUGCCCACGGUCAGGCCCGUGAUCUGCCCAGCUUCACCAGCGCAGAGCCUGGCAAUACCCUGCAUCUGCUGGACGCUUCCCUCUGAAACCGGCUGGGAACACCCCCUCGGCAAAGUCUACUAUGAAUUGCUCCUAACAUGGGUGUCCAGUAACAGAACCCAUCACCUACUGGCCACAGCUUGUUCUCCAGACACUGCUAAGCAUUCCCAUGCUUUCUUUCACUGGAUCCUGGUAACAGACUGGGAAGAACCUCUGAUCACCCCACUUUCCAGGGCCAUCCACGCAGAAUGGAUUAUGUGGCCUCUGAACUGAGGGCUUGGGGCCCAGUGAGACACAGGUCUGUAACCAGAACAUAGAGGUAAUGAGCCCACUGGUGACUGGAAGCCCCUCGUGGUGAUGGCGGAGGACUGGCUGGCCGCACUGCUGGGCCUGUGCCUGGACGGGGCUCCAGCCAUGGGUGGGCUGUGGGAGCGG